rnacentral:rRNA from 1 species
UUCUGGACUCAGGAUGAACGCUGGCGGCGUGCUUAACACAUGCAAGUCGAACGGAGUUAUCUCGCUGAGGAGAGCUUGACUCAAAUCUUGAGGUAACUUAGUGGCGGACGGGUGAGUAACGCGUGGGUAACCUGCCGUAUGCCGGGGGACAACAGUUGGAAACGACUGCUAAUACCGCAUAAGCGCACAGUACCGCAUGGUACAGUGUGAAAAACUCCGGUGGCAUACGAUGGACCCGCGUCUGAUUAGCCAGUUGGCGGUGUAACGGACCACCAAAGCGACGAUCAGUAGCCGGCCUGAGAGGGUGAACGGCCACAUUGGGACUGAGACACGGCCCAAACUCCUACGGGAGGCAGCAGUGGGGAAUAUUGGACAAUGGGGGAAACCCUGAUCCAAGCGACGCCGCGUGAGUGAAGAAGUAUUUCGGUAUGUAAAGCUCUAUCAGCAGGAAAGAAAAUGACGGUACCUGACUAAGAAGCCCCGGCUAACUACGUGCCAGCAGCCGC